rnacentral:tRNA from 1 species
GGGGCUGUAACUUAGUGGCAGAGUGCUUGCCUUGAAUGUGUGAGGCACUGAGUUUGAUUCUCAGCACCACA